UGGAGAAAGAGAGAGGAGAGAGAGAGAGAGAGAGAGAGAGAGAGAGAGAAAGACCCAUGCCAUGGGUUUCAGACUUAUCAGCCCCCACAAUCACAUGAGCCAAUUCCUUAAAGUAAAUCAAUCAAUCCCCCCAUCUCUCUCUCUCUCUCUCUCUCUCUCUCUCUCUCUCUCUCUCUCUCUCUCU
rnacentral:miRNA from 1 species